rnacentral:rRNA from 1 species
CAGCCGCCGCGGUAAUACGUAGGGUGCGAGCGUUAAUCGGAAUUACUGGGCGUAAAGCGUGCGCAGGCGGUUGUGUAAGACAGAUGUGAAAUCCCCGGGCUCAACCUGGGAACUGCAUUUGUGACUGGCAAGCUAGAGUAUGGCAGAGGGGGGUGGAAUUCCGCGUGUAGCAGUGAAAUGCGUAGAUAUGCGGAGGAACACCGAUGGCGAAGGCAGCCCCCUGGGCCAAUACUGACGCUCAUGCACGAAAGCGUGGGGAGCAAACAGGAUUAGAUACCCCUGUAGUCCCUGUCUCUUAUAC